rnacentral:lncRNA from 1 species
UACCCAGAGGAAAUGCCAGGUUACCGAAUUUAUCCAGAAACAUUUCCUUAGAUCCUUAAGUGAAGCUGCUAGCCUGCGAAGUUUCCACCAGAUGGCACCAAAACACUAUAUUCCAAGCACUAAGCCGUCACCGCGCCUUCAGGAGAAAGAGCCGGAACCUUCCGCUCCUCUGAGAUGAUCAAGCACAGGCCCAGGG